rnacentral:rRNA from 1 species
UACGUAGGGUCCAAGCGUUAUCCGGAAUCACUGGGCGUAAAGCGUGCGUAGGUGGCGUGUUAAGUGAGAUGUGAAAUCGUGUGGCCCAACCAUAUCGUUGUGUCUCAUACUGGCAUGCUAGAGGACGGCAGAGGCAAGUGGAAUUGGUAGUGUAGCAGUGAAAUGCGUAGAUAUUACCAGGAACACCAAUGGCGAAGGCAGCUUGCUGGGCCACUCCUGACACUGAGGUACGAAAGCGUGGGGAGCGAACAGG